rnacentral:lncRNA from 1 species
CAAUGGUUCUCCCAUACCUGGAAGCUAAUGAAUAAUGAGCACCAUUAAGGCCUAUUCCAAAUGUAAAAAACCUUGAGAUAAUGUACUAAAUUGUUCGGAAGGUUGUUUUCUUAGUGCCUACUGGAAUGCUACAGGAUUUUCUUUAGCCAUUGCCAGAGUUCCUGCCUUCAUCCCAGUGCCGGUGAGGACGAGGGUGGAGGGAUUUCCAGUGUUGCUGACUUCAGAUCAAGCUGGCUUCCUGCAGAACUUACCUGGACUGUGAACUUACCUGGACUGUGAUUUAAUUACCUGGACUGUGAACUUACCUGGACUGUGAUUUACCUGGACUAUGUGUUACUUAUAUGCAUAGUGAACUAUCUGUUGAUGCAACGAAUUGUGGUAGUACCGGGGUACCUUUGCUGAUGGUGUCAUCUGUGGUACAAUUUUUCCAAGGGCUUCUUACUUGGAGCCAUCAAUUGGCUUGGUAUCGUGGCAUUUUGUAUCCUCCCCUUCUGCUUGUAGUAGGUUAUUUAUGGUGUUUGUGUAUCCACAAGUAUGGCUGAGUGUGUUGGGCCGGUAGUCAAAGACGGGUAAGAUCCAAUUACAAUGGUACCAACCUAAGACAAGAGGCUGACGAUUUGAGGUCAGACCAUCCAAUGACGGGUAAGGACCAUAUGUAGUAUUGGACAACCUAAAACAGGCACAGUCCCUAAGCCACAUACUUGUUGUUUAAUUAAACAAAAGGGGGAAAUGUUGAGGACCACAGACAAGUCAAGAUGGCGCCUGGCAUUUUGCCAGGGGGAGUGGUUUGAGAAGUAACGCCAGAGAGCCAUUAAGAUAAUGGAGAUUCCUUAAUGACUGACUGCUGUGUCUAGAUUAUGUCAAUUAAAUUAAGC